AGUCUCACACCCGUAUUCACAAACGAUACUUGCUUAAGUGAAGCAGCAAAUCGAACGCACAGCGUUGAAUAGAGUUCUGUGAUUGGUUCAUGCGUGACCCUGUGCGUCCACGCGCACUGUGAGACCUCAUAGUAAUGUUUGUGAAUACGGGCGUUAGCCACUAACGAGUGACAGAACCUUACUAGACAGUGGCGCUCUAGCGAGCUCAAAUACGGUAGUCCACAUUGACAUACUUCGAAAAUACCGCUUUUAGAUGCGCCAAAAUAUGUAAUACCACUUCAAAUCUGUAGCAACUGGAAAACUUGAGUAGUUGAAACCACACUCAAUUGACAUACUUUUUUUGCUGUAAAAGGCACCAAUCCCAUAUAUUUUGGAUAGCAAUUCUAAGAUGCGUCUUGGAAAUAUUGAUGUCAAGUACCCAAUUCCAUCUGCACGCAAAAUGAUCGCCUAAAUUCUAGUGUCGAGGACUACACUUCCAUAUUUUAUCAUAAACCAAUUAAAAGUAGCAAUUCUACAAGCUCUUCAUGGUUCUUAGAUAUCUUGGAAACAAAUGCCUACUCGAGUUCGAAUUAAAAUCUUCUAUUUUGAGUUGUCUCAGUUUAGAUCUAGGUGUGCGAUAUAUCACUGCGGCCACAAAGUACAAUAUGCAACACAGAAUGAAUGUCAUUGGUGAUGAUGGUAUGAAUGCACGAGUGUCUAAUCAAUGAGGGUUUAAAGUUUACAUUGACAGUCCCGGGUAUCACACGUAGCCCUAUCACUCGAAGAAAGUAUUUGAUACGUGAGUUUAGGCCAUUUACAUUACUUGCAUGAGAUUCAGUUCCAUUUACUAAAUUUAAAAUGACAUUAGAAACGUAACUACGUUUUUAUGUGUCUUAACAAACACUAAGGCGUAAAAGAGGAUAAUAAAAUAUGCAUAACUCGCUGAUGUCUACGUCAUUGAAAAAUUUCCUUUACUGCGUAGCUGGCUUAUUAUUCCUGAAGUUAAUGCAGAAUAAAGAUUUUUGAGUAGAACAUAGUGGGAUCAAAUCGCCACUAUUUUGUAACAAAAUAAAAAAAUUCGACGCGACGGUAUCCAUUUUCAUAUUAGGAGUCCGUGUGCGCGUGCCUUAUCUGUGAAAGUCUGAUGUCUAUGAACGAGCGUGUAAGCAUUGUGUGAUUUGAUCUAAAUAGCGCUGUCAUUUGUUUCUCAGCAAAGCGAGCCAUGUGUUUUGAUUCAAAAUUAAUAUUGCCACACAAUAGAAAAGAGACAUUAAAUUCUACUGGGACUAAGUAGAAAACAAAUCUGAGUUACCGAAAUUAACUGAAGAAUCAGAUAAUUAAAGGGCAUUUGUAACAACAAUAAAAUGCUCAAUGUUAUGUGAGAAGGUAAUGAUAUUUCAAAGGAUACAAUCAAUUGAUUUUAGUUCUGCUAAUCCUUUUAGAGGAAAUGCUCUAUGGUGUAAAAACUUUUUAAAUAUGUAAGCAAAUACAUAUUACCGUCAUUUAAAAAUAAGGGAGAUGAUAUUACAUGAUAUCAGAAACUCAUUGUACUUUAAUGUGUAGGCAUUAAAAUGUAUGAAUAUUGAUGUUAUAUGCUUUGAAUGUGCAAAAAAAAACAAUGACAAACGCAUGUAAAUGAUUUUAUAGUGUAAGAAUAUGUAAUUUACUGUAUUUUUUAUAAUUUAGAACUAAUGGCAUGCUUUAGAUCUCCUGUAAAUAGAAUGCAUGUCUUACAGACAGCAGUCGGAGUAGGAUUCAAAAUGAUAUUGGAAAUGUAUUUGAAAACAAAAAACCCAUUGGAAUGAAUUUGUAAAGAUGAUGAUCACUGAUCGAAGACUGAGCAUGUUUUUGUAAAUAAUAAUUUUAAUUCAUUCAAUGGCUCAUUCAUAUCAUCCACACUAUUAGAAAGAAAAAUUCUUUUUACUGAUACUUUUGAUAAACGUUACUAAAGUAGUGUUUAACGGUCGCGCCUAUCUUAUCACUAUUCAAUUUGCAAUCGCGAGAUUGCCAGCUUCUGAUGAUUCUUCUCCUGAGAAGUUUCCAUCCUCUGCAUUGUGCACGUCUUUAUUUGAAAAGCAAUUCUUAGCAUCGUGAUAACAUUCGCCCUUCGAUACUGAUUGAUUUAACUCAGAAUGCCACAGGAUUAUUUUUUUCGGCACUCUGCCGUUAUUGGUGUUGUAGUUUCAACAAAAGAAAAGCCCUGCUAAAUGCAUCCGCUGGUUCUGUAGCAUUAGUCCUUUCAAUAAUAAUAUUAGAAUAUGUGUCGGCAAAAUAUAAUUUUGCUACAAUUUUAGUAAAAAUGCUAUUGUCCAAGUACAUUCUAUUGUUACACUUACCCUAAACUAAUAAAAGUUGUCACCAACUGUGAAAUUUAUAAGUUUAAAUUGUUUAAAACAUGAUUCAAGCCUCAAUUAACCGUUAGUUGGUCAUAGUAAUAACUUUCAUUAUAAUAUAAGCUGUAGUUUUAGCAUUAGUUUUUGUAAGAAUGCUAAUUUGACAAUCGAUGUAAAUAAUGAAAUGUGAUUCAGUGAAAUAUUUUGGUACGCAAGUCGAAAGUAUUUUAUUUUAGUCCAAACUAUCAAAGCUUUAGUGUUUGUAUAAGUUUAUUGUCAACUUUAUACUUAGGUAUAUGCUUUUGUACAACUGAUGAAUUUUAGUUUGUUUGUAAUUUUAUAGAAAGCAAGUGUGACUGCUAUUACACCCAGUGUUUUGUAAUUAAAAUUUAUUGAUUUACACACGCCCGUUAUUACAUUCCUCAGUUCACGAUGCAACUACAUUUAUUUCCUGCAUAUUUGGUCACUUAUAAAGAUAAAACUAUAUGAAAGGGUUUUACUAACCCGUUUUAGUUUUCUCAUC